CUAGGAUUUGUUAUUAUGGUAAUCACUGAUGAAAGACUGACUGUGAUCUAGAAGAGACGUGACUUGUGUAGCCAAAAUAUCAUUUUUGUGAAAAUUUUAGAAAUUGCAAUUCAACCUUUAUAAAAAUGCCUAAAGUUUGUAAAUACAAUCCUGAACUAAAAAUUAAUUUUAACCCGAAGUGCAUGCUAAGUAACUCAGCUCAUAAACAAAUUACUUUUGCUUUUUGAAAAAAUUAACCCUAUAGGACUUAUGAUUUGACUUGUUAAAUAAUGGAACUCUUUUCCCCCCUUUUUUGACAUCAGUUAGAGGUCUGCAAAAGAACCUAAGCUGGCAAACAUGUAUUAGGUCAAAUUAGCUAGCAUUAUCUCAUGUCAGCAUCAUUAUGCCUCUUGAUGGAAGCUCUUAUUUUACUUGAUGAUUAAGAGGACACCACUGCUUUGUUUGAUUCCAACACCACCUAUAAAUACCUUAUGGCACAGGCAAGUUUACAACUUCUACAUUUGGACUUUUACAUUUAUGCCUGAGCUUGAUGGGAGUAUAGCUCCAUGGUAGUAUGAAAAUCCUGGUUAUUGUGAUAGAACUUUAUUUUUGGAUGAUGUAAGAAUUCGGUGGACCCAUUCAAAAUUAAUGCGAACCUUUAGAGCUGUACUCCAUGCUUUAUUUUUUGGUUUUCUUGAGAUACAAAAUUAGGCAUAAAACUUUAAUCAGUUGCCUCUAUGGAGGGGACUCCCCAUGUUACUUGCAUGUGAAUUUGGUCCAUUUUGUAGAAUUCCAUGAUUGGUUCUGGUGAUACACUGAUACUUUUCAAGCAUAUGCAGCAAGCCAGUGUUUUCAACGGAAUUCACCAAUGAUCCAUAUCCUGCACCAUCCCAAAUUUAUAAUCCUGAAAGGGAUGAAGUAUCGUAUUUUUCAAGUUAUUCUUAAUUAUAAUUUUCUGUUUUAAUCAAUUCGUUGACAGGGAAUCUGA
rnacentral:misc_RNA from 1 species